rnacentral:lncRNA from 1 species
CAAGGAGCAUUUGCAAAGGAAGGGACCUUCCAGGGACCCUGAGCAGCGUCCAGCCAGAGAGUAGGGGGAUCUGCGCCCAGGGCCAGAGCUGCCCCCUGCCCCCGAUCUGCAGGAGGGAAGAUGACACAGAACCCCAAAGGUCUCAGCUGCACUUCCCACAGACCCGCUGGCUGGAUGGCUCACCUUUUCCACCUGAUCCGGGUGUCUCCGUCCAGUAAUCAUCUCCCACGUCAGCAAAUGAAGAGUCCCUGUCAGAAAGGCUGUCCUGGGAGCAUUCUGUCGGGUUCUGGAAGAGGAGCGGUAGACCCAUCCCGAGCGUGGGCUUCCUGUAGGCAGGGCACCUCCUGCUGGAGAGGCGACAGCCCAGGUCUGUGUGUUGUCAUUCAACAUUCGUUGACCCCCGCUAUGGGCCAAUACUGACAGCACUGGGGGUACCAGCAUGAGCCAAGGAGGGGAUCCCUGUCCUCUGGAGAAGAGUGAGUGACAUCACACUCUUCCAGUGAGCCCCUGUGGUGGGUACCAAGACAGGGGAGGGCGCUGCAUAUUCCGCCUCAUCUUUUAUAAUCCCAGCAGGAGAUCUUCCAGUGGCGGCGCAUGGGUGGGUGGUCCUCCCAAAGCCCAGUAAUGCUCGAGACAAGCGAAAUACCCAACAAAGAAACACGGUGCAUCCGCAGAUCGGAACACUGCGUGCCCGUUUAAUAUGGAGUUUCAAAAAAUACCAAGGAUCCGAAGGACCUUUGGGUGACUCCGUUUGUACGGAAUGUCCGGAAUAGACAAAUCUACAGAG